GAGAGCCAUGUGCGGGAAAACCGCACUCACGGUUCGGAGGGAGGGGUGACGCAUGCCAAUACGUCAUCCCUACCCCUAU
rnacentral:ncRNA from 1 species